UCCUGGCUCAGGAUGAACGCUAGCUACAGGCUUAACACAUGCAAGUCGAGGGGAAACGACAUCGAAAGCUUGCUUUUGGUGGGCGUCGACCGGCGCACGGGUGAGUAACGCGUAUCCAACCUGCCCACACUUGGGGAUAACCUUGCGAAGUAAGACUAAUACCCAAUGAUAUCCCACGAAGGCAUCCGAAUGGGAUUAAAGAUUUAUCGGUGAUGGAUGGGGAUGCGUCUGAUUAGCUUGUUGGCGGGGUAACGGCCCACCAAGGCAACGAUCAGUAGGGGUUCUGAGAGGAAGGUCCCCCACAUUGGAACUGAGACACGGUCCAAACUCCUACGGGAGGCAGCAGUGAGGAAUAUUGGUCAAUGGGCGAGAGCCUGAACCAGCCAAGUAGCGUGCAGGAUGACGGCCCUAUGGGUUGUAAACUGCUUUUAUAAGGGAAUAAAGUGAGUCUCGUGAGACUUUUUGCAUGUACCUUAUGAAUAAGGACCGGCUAAUUCCGUG
rnacentral:rRNA from 1 species